rnacentral:rRNA from 1 species
UGGUGGAGUGAUUUGUCUGGUUAAUUCCGUUAACGAACGAGACCUCAGCCUACUAACUAGUUUGUAUAAUUGAAAGAUUGUGCAAGCUUCUUAGAGGGACUACCGGUUUCUAUGAAGCCGGGGGAAGUGUGAGGCAAUAACA